GAUCCUGGCUCAGGAUGAACGCUAGCUACAGGCUUAACACAUGCAAGUCGAGGGCAGCAUGAACUUAGCUUGCUAAGUUGAUGGCGACCGGCGCACGGGUGAGUAACACGUAUCCGAACCUGCCGAUGACUCGGGGAUAGCCUUUCGAAAGAAAGAUUAAUACCCGAUGGCAUAGGUUCUUCCGCAUGGUAGAACUAUUAAAGAACUUCGGUCAUCGAUGGGAUGCGUUCCAUUAGGUUGUUGGCGGGGUAACGGCCCACCAAGCCUUCGAUGGAUAGGGGUUCUGAGAGGAAGGUCCCCCACAUUGGAACUGAGACACGGUCCAAACUCCUACGGGAGGCAGCAGUGAGGAAUAUUGGUCAAUGGACGAGAGUCUGAACCAGCCAAGUAGCGUGAAGGAUGACUGCCCUAUGGGUUGUAAACUUCUUUAUACGGGAAUAAAGUGAGGCACGUGUGCCUUUUGUAUGUACCGUAUGAAUAAGGAUCGGCUAACUCCGUG
rnacentral:rRNA from 1 species